UCCUGCAUUCGAAAGUGAUCGCGGGCGGCCGUGCCCUGGUCAUUGAUAGUGCAGGGAGAGGAAUUGCCGAAAGCGUUUCCCCGUGUUGGAAGGGCCCAUCCUGUCCCUUCCAAACUCUGGAGCUUUCGUACA